UAAGCUCCUUAAUGUGCGGAAAGGA
rnacentral:misc_RNA from 1 species